rnacentral:rRNA from 1 species
ACGAACGCUGGCGGCGUGCCUAAUACAUGCAAGUCGAACGCUUCUUUUUCCAUCGGAGCUUGCUCCACCGGAGAAAGAGGAGUGGCGAACGGGUGAGUAACACGUGGGUAACCUGCCCAUCAGAAGGGGAUAACACUUGGAAACAGGUGCUAAUACCGUAUAACAAUCGAAACCGCAUGGUUUUGAUUUGAAAGGCGCUUUCGGGUGUCGCUGAUGGAUGGACCCGCGGUGCAUUAGCUAGUUGGUGAGGUAACGGCUCACCAAGGCGACGAUGCAUAGCCGACCUGAGAGGGUGAUCGGCCACAUUGGGACUGAGACACGGCCCAAACUCCUACGGGAGGCAGCAGUAGGGAAUCUUCGGCAAUGGACGAAAGUCUGACCGAGCAACGCCGCGUGAGUGAAGAAGGUUUUCGGAUCGUAAAACUCUGUUGUUAGAGAAGAACAAGGAUGAGAGUAACUGUUCAUCCCUUGACGGUAUCUAACCAGAAAGCCACGGCUAACUACGUGCCAGCAGCCGCGGUAAUACGUAGGUGGCAAGCGUUGUCCGGAUUUAUUGGGCGUAAAGCGAGCGCAGGCGGUUUCUUAAGUCUGAUGUGAAAGCCCCCGGCUCAACCGGGGAGGGUCAUUGGAAACUGGGAGACUUGAGUGCAGAAGAGGAGAGUGGAAUUCCAUGUGUAGCGGUGAAAUGCGUAGAUAUAUGGAGGAACACCAGUGGCGAAGGCGGCUCUCUGGUCUGUAACUGACGCUGAGGCUCGAAAGCGUGGGGAGCAAACAGGAUUAGAUACCCUGGUAGUCCACGCCGUAAACGAUGAGUGCUAAGUGUUGGAGGGUUUCCGCCCUUCAGUGCUGCAGCUAACGCAUUAAGCACUCCGCCUGGGGAGUACGACCGCAAGGUUGAAACUCAAAGGAAUUGACGGGGGCCCGCACAAGCGGUGGAGCAUGUGGUUUAAUUCGAAGCAACGCGAAGAACCUUACCAGGUCUUGACAUCCUUUGACCACUCUAGAGAUAGAGCUUCCCCUUCGGGGGCAAAGUGACAGGUGGUGCAUGGUUGUCGUCAGCUCGUGUCGUGAGAUGUUGGGUUAAGUCCCGCAACGAGCGCAACCCUUAUUGUUAGUUGCCAUCAUUUAGUUGGGCACUCUAGCAAGACUGCCGGUGACAAACCGGAGGAAGGUGGGGAUGACGUCAAAUCAUCAUGCCCCUUAUGACCUGGGCUACACACGUGCUACAAUGGGAAGUACAACGAGUCGCAAAGUCGCGAGGCUAAGCUAAUCUCUUAAAGCUUCUCUCAGUUCGGAUUGUAGGCUGCAACUCGCCUACAUGAAGCCGGAAUCGCUAGUAAUCGCGGAUCAGCACGCCGCGGUGAAUACGUUCCCGGGCCUUGUACACACCGCCCGUCACACCACGAGAGUUUGUAACACCCGAAGUCGGUGAGGUAACCUUUUGGAGCCAGCCGCCUAAGGUGGGAUAGAUGAUUGGGGUG